AGAUGUCAAACCAUGCCGAAACUACACUGACGGAAAAGAAAUCGCAAUACCAAGCAGCAGUAGUGCGACGUAAACGGAAAUUGGUGCCGUUACUAACGACGUUCAAAGACGAUAAGGAACGAAGGAAAAGCUAUUCCCUGAAUCAUCGGCAGUUCGAAACGUCAUAAAGGAAGACGUGAAAUAGGACGUAUCUAAUGUAUUAACAUGGAAGAACUGGGCAGUUACUGAGAGGAGGAAUGUACACUGCGACAAAACUUGAUAGCAGAUGAAAACAGUGUGUUGCACGCGAGUCGAAUCCGGCUCAUUGAAUUUCGCAGCAGGGGCUCCAGGACACGCGCGCCGGCCACACGCGCCUGACCUAGCACGGUUGGCGGACUGCCAGAACGCCGCAGCCGAGCUGAGCGGAGCAUUGCCGCCUCUGCAGUAUCGACCUCUCGACACGCACCGCUCGAUGCGAGCUCUCGCCACCCUCUCCGACCAGCGGCGCGCGUGCACACGCAGC